ACUACUUAAAAAGACUAAACUGGUUCCUUAUUCUGCCAUCCACCACAAUACGUCAAUUGCUUCGUCGUUCCUUCCGUCGUCGCGCUUCCUCGACCGUCGUCCACAUGGGCCAGGCCCAAUGACUCCGCCGACUCCGCCGAAUCCACCUACCCCCUGCUCGAUCUCCCCAAAAUUCAUCGACUCGGUCUUCAAUCCGUCGAUCUGGCGGCUGCAUCGCCGAUCUGCGUCCGCCCCAUCGAUGCGGCAGGCGCAGAAGAGGAGUUGAUUUGGCGCGCUGCACCAAGCAUGCUGAUGCGCCCGCACCGAAAGCGAGAGGGAUGCGGCGGCCGACGAACAGUUGACCAGAUCGCUGGCUUGACACAAGGUCAGGAAGCUCUCCUACGGAACGCUCAUCAAGGCGGACGAUCUGAUGCAGCUAAUCGACCGGGGGUGCGCUUCAAUCGACGUUCCGCUCCUCAAAAUCCAACGACAGGACGACCAUGGUCCACCGCCGGUCGACGACCCUGCAGCCUCCUACCGGCCUACGAUUCAGCCUCCUACAGGCCUUCAAGCAUCCGUCGAGGCAACGAAACAAUAAGCUGCUCUGGCCUGCAUCAUCGGGUGAGCCACUGCUGCUGAAAUGCAGCUCGUCGACUCAGCUCCAUCUCCAGUACACGGAUCCACGGCAAGAGAACAUUGUCUGAUAUUUGUCCAGCAUGCAUACGGGUUUCAAGUCAUCUAUUAUUGGAGCAGGCCAAGUUUCUGAGUCAGCGUUGAAGAAGAUGUUAAGCAACCAAGCAGAGUGUUUACUUUGUUUCUCAAAUUCCCUCCACUAAUUUCGAUGUCUCUCAUUCUAAUAUAUUGUAAGUAUGCAUGCUUUAGGAAUCCAUAAUGUAUUGAAGGCAAUGUUCAUUUGCGUAUUCAUCUUUUCUAGGACUAAUUAAUAUAAUGGUGUUCUAUGUACGUAGUGCUAACAGAUUUAUCAGAUUGGACAGUCUAGCGGUGCGCAUAUUGCUGCUUGUAUUCUCGUAAAUCAGGCUAUGAAAGAAUAUGGUGAAAUAGAUACUUCCAAUUAGAGUGUUGGGAAACUAAAAGCUUACUUUGGUAUUUCUGGUGGGUAAGCAUAUGACUAGCACAAAUUAUUGGGAUUCCUUUUUCUGUUAAAAUUUGCAAGUCAAACAUUGUAUUGGAAGUAGAGUUUAUCUCCUGCUGCAAUUUAGUCUACGGCGCAUCUCGGAAUGGUACUCCAAAUUUAAGGGAGAUGACAUUGUCUUUUAAGCAAUAUUAGCUUGGAAGUUAGAGACUCGAGUUGUAAUAUGUUCUAGAAAUCAGGUCUUGGAAGCCAAUGCUACUUUUGGAAUCCUAGGCCGUAAUAGCAUCACUUAUCACAUUUGUUAGGAGCAUCUUUCCUGAUUCGAAUGCAUAAGAAUGUCUCGGAAUAGGUGUAUUGACUUUAAAAUUUGAGUUAUGGUAUCAGCCGUUAUAAUCUUCUUAAUUUGGUUGAUCAUUUACAUAGGCAUGGCAUGUACCGAUAUGUCUUUCUCAUGUAUUCAUCUUUGGCUGACAGUAUUAGAAUGACGUAAAAAUAUAUCUACACACUAAGAAGAAAAUAGCAACAAUAAAAUGUUGAAGUGUAAAAAAACUCAAAUCCAAUUUUAUUCUGGAUGUGACCUUGUCAUCGAAGCACUUGAUGAGGAGCAAGCAACACAUUAUGUGGCUUGAGGUGAAUAUUUUGAAUCAAAAGCAUCAGGCCAUAGGAACAGGACAUCUCUUGUGCACAAAUAGAUCAUAUGACUGGAAUGAAGUUAGAAAGGUUGAGAAAGAAGUUCUAGGUUUUGUCUCAAUGCUGCCCUUCAAAUUCAUAGACUGUACAAUAAGAUAAAGUUCUUUCUAGACCUUGUUAGUGACUUAAUUGUGGACUUGUUAGUAACUUAAUUUUGUUCCAUACCUGGUGGUGGAUUUUGCAAAGGUCAUUGCUUCGUGAGAUUUGCAGAGCUAUUCUGUGAACAAUGAUAAGGUUUUAUCUCGGUCUAGGAAAGGUACCUUUAAAGCAUACAAGGGGGUUACUGUUUAUGAUGUUUAUUAACUUAUUACACUGGUCUCUCUCAUAUGUCAGCUUGUGUUGUUUUAGCGGAGCAGUAAAAAAUCAAGUUGAUAAAGUGUUGAUAGUUGUUACUACUGGAAUAUCAUCUCUCAUGUAUUAACUUAUUGGUGAUUCCUAGAUGACAGUGUAAAGAUGUACAAAGAUGCAACCUUAACAAUAUUGUACAAGAGAUUUAGUUGGGACUCCGCAAAAGAAGGAUUCGGCUGGGAUUUAUGAGUGCUGAUGUCAGUAUAUUGUAUAAAAUUGAAGUGGUAUGCAUCAAAUUUAUUCAAUGUGCCACAGAAUUAAUUUGCAAGGUUUUACUUGAUCAUAUUUCUCUUAUUUGCAAGUAUUUGGGAUAUGUGGAGAGAACAAAGGCAUGAUUGUUCUGAAUAAGCUUAUUCAUGUCUUGACAUUCUAGAUAUUUUGGGACAUUUGAGUCGGGAGGAUAUGCUUCAAGAUGAUGCAGGAGUUUUUUUCUUGAAUGAUGUGAAUAAGUUACACGAGCUUCAGGUUGAACCAGAUGGUACGGCUUCCUCCUCUGUCAAGUUGAAAACAUGUAGCAGGGUGUUCUCAAGAUAUAUGUACCUCAACGUUGACCCGUUUGUUCCUACCCCACAGAAUAACCCAUCUUCUUAGUUAUAUGCAUUUGAGAUGCUUAAUGGGGUGAUGGUAUACACCUCAGCUACCGAUAGCGCCCUGAGAUCAUACAUACCAGAUGAAAUUGUUGAUGGCUUGCUAACCUGAGAUCCUUUGUCUCCAUGGCCGGCGGCUUCCAUGGAUGAUGUUUAGUGGCCGGAGGGAGCAUCAAGAAGAAAGAGCAGACAUGGUUCAGAAAAAGGGGAUGCAGUCGAACACAAUCAAGAAGAUGAACGGAGAUGUUGUCAAGAAGAUGGUUGCAUUGCAUUCUGGAAUUAUAAUUCAAGAGAUGUGAAUUAUUGAGUCACUGAUUCUUUCAAGCAUUUAAGAAGCCGAUAAAGAAAGUAACGGGAUUGAAGCGACAAGCCAACUGGAAUGGCAUACCAUCAACUGCCAUGUUUUUGAUUCGCUUGGUUUUCUGCCAUUCCAUCAAAGUAUCAUGGCCAAGUAGAUUUCAUGAAGCUGACACAAUAUGUGCCUUUUUAGCUACUGACGAUAUAACAUAAUACAGUGAGAAAAACACACCUAAACUUAUCUUUCCUUUUAUUACAUCAUAAUUUGUAUUUCUGAUAAAUAUUGUUUAUUAGUUUUUGUUUUCCUCAUAUAAGUUAUUGUUUAUUGGAAUCGAAUAUGUACUAUGGAGGGAGUCACAUAGUUUGUGAAGUAAUUAGUUUGGUGUGUCACAGAAUCUCAAUGGGUUUUAUAAGGCUACUAUAUAGUAUGAUAUAUAAUUUUAUUGAGUAGUAUAUUUCAAGCCCAUAUGAGCCAUGAACUAUUUUCUUAAUACUUGGAAUGUAAUUGGAAAAAUAACUUAAGGUACUAAAUUUUGCUUGAUUGAUAACCAUGAUGAGAUUGAAUUAUUCUAAUCUUCCAAAAGCAGUUUGCAAGAUAAUGGCAUAGAACAUUGAUAGGAUGAAGAAAGAAGUACGAGGAGUCUUUGACUUCCUGCAGUGUGGUGGUGUGGAAAGAGAUGUGCAACAAGGAACCAAGAAGGAUUAAGGAGAAGCAUAAGAAAGGACUGCUUGAUUGGAUUCAUGGGCUGCCAUGAGGGGUAGUUUUAUCCUUUUGUAUAUAUGGUCUCCUGUUUUCUAUAGUUUGUACGUAAUUUUUCUGUUGGUUCUUUUUAUAUAUUUUUUAUGCUGUGGGGAUUUUGCCCCACAGUCCACGGUUAAAAAAAAGGAACCAAGAAGGAAUAGAAUCAAGUGCCUGAAGUGGCAAGAAAGAAGUGGGCAUUCAUUGCAAGCCAAAAAAAUGAAGUUAAAGUAUAGGCUUGACAGCCUAAAUUAAGGGUAGUUGUUUAAUAGAUCGUGUGUUAGUAGUGUUGCUUUUUAAUUGAUAGAUUUAUGCAAGGAACGAGAUUUAUGUGACUACUUGGUUGAAAAAUAUAACAAUAUUUUUGCUUUA